CUGGGGUUACAGGCGUGAGCCACCGCGCCAGGCCUAUAUUUAUUUAUUAGAAAGAAAUUGGGGGCCGGGAGCGGUGGCUCACGCCUGUAAUCCCAGC
rnacentral:miRNA from 1 species